rnacentral:tRNA from 1 species
GAAAAAAUAAUUAAAUAAUAAUGUUAAUUUGUGGAAUUAGUUUUAAUGGUUAGAGUCCAUUUUUUUUCU